rnacentral:rRNA from 1 species
CAGGACGAACGCUGGCGGCGUGCUUAACACAUGCAAGUCGAGCGGUAAGGCCUUUCGGGGUACACGAGCGGCGAACGGGUGAGUAACACGUGGGUGAUCUGCCCUGCACUCUGGGAUAAGCUUGGGAAACUGGGUCUAAUACCGGAUAUGACCACAGCAUGCAUGUGUUGUGGUGGAAAGAUUUAUCGGUGCAGGAUGGGCCCGCGGCCUAUCAGCUUGUUGGUGGGGUAAUGGCCUACCAAGGCGACGACGGGUAGCCGACCUGAGAGGGUGACCGGCCACACUGGGACUGAGACACGGCCCAGACUCCUACGGGAGGCAGCAGUGGGAACUAUUGCACAAUGGGCGGAAGCCUGAUGCAGCGACGCCGCGUGAGGGAUGAAGGCCUUCGGGUUGUAAACCUCUUUCAGCAGGGACGAAGCGUGAGUGACGGUACCUGCAGAAGAAGCACCGGCUAACUACGUGCCAGCAGCCGCGGUAAUACGUAGGGUGCGAGCGUUGUCCGGAAUUACUGGGCGUAAAGAGUUCGUAGGCGGUUUGUCGCGUCGUUUGUGAAAACCCGGGGCUCAACUUCGGGCUUGCAGGCGAUACGUGCAGACUUGAGUGUUUCAGGGGAGACUGGAAUUCCUGGUGUAGCGGUGAAAUGGGCAGAUAUCAGGAGGAACACCGGUGGCGAAGGCGGGUCUCUGGG